UCUUAAAGACUGUUUUAUUUUAUUAUGGAACUUAAUUUAGAAUUAAAAAUAUAAGUUCUGUGGUUCUGAAAUCUACCUGAAAUGCUGCAUGUAUGGCAACCUCAAUAGAAAAGCUAUUAAUGACUAUAUAUUUUUUUAUUGUAUUACAUGUGACCACUCAGGAUAAAAUUAAAGAAAUCUACAUUGCCUAGUUAGGUACUCCAUUAAUACCAUGGUUUUACUCUCUAAGGAAAAAAAAAUCAACCUAUCCCACAAAAAUGCAUCUUUUCAAGGAAGAUACGUAAAUUAUGUCGUGAUGAUUCCUAUUAGUCAAGUACUCUUUAGUGAAUUUCUUUAACUACUGUGUUUAAAAUAAUUUUGCUUAUUAAUAUUUUAUUUAAAAUAUUUUAUUUUGGUGUAAGAAAAAAUUUUCUAGUAAUAACGACCUUAUAUUUUGAACAAACAGCUGCAAAUAUGUUUGUUUAUUCAUUCAACAUAUAUUUAGAAGCCUCCUAUGCGCAGGCCCCUUUGCUAGACUUGGGGAACUUAUGAACUAGAUAAGAAGAGGAAAGCCUUUGUUCUAAUAGUUCUUGUAUUUUAAUAGGGGAACAGACACCAACAAAAUAAACAACUGAAUGUGGUAGUUUCAAAUAAAUGUUAAGAAGAAACAAAAUAACUGUGGAAGGUGAGGACAAGGGCACCUUAGGUGUCUGGCAAGUGGGCCUAAGGAAAGGCUCUUUGAGCCAAGAGCAAGCCGAUGGACAGCCAGUAUUUAAGGAAGAGAGACAGAUGUGGACAGUGGCCCAAUGGAAGAAACUAGUAUGUGGUGGGGAGGAAGUCGGGACAUCUGAGAGGAAGCAGGGCAUUUAAAAGGGCAUCUGCAGGGAUCAAGAGUCAGGCCUGUGAAACUUGUGGGACAAAUAAAGGAACUUGCUUUUCAUUUUAAAUGUAAUGGGAAGCCAAGAGAUGAUUAUAAGCAGAGGGUUAACAUCAUCCAAUUAACAUUUUAAAAGAAUCCUUUUUAUUUUCUUUACCUCUCAUAGUUUAGAAUAUGUUGGGUAUUAUGUUUAGACAGGUCUAAAAAAGCUGCUCUUACAAAGUCGAAGAUAGUUUAUCUUCAUAGGGUCAUAAUAUUGUAUCAUACCAAAGUAGUAGAAAUAGUUAAGGAUUUACAUGACAUUUUUUAUACAGAGAUUUAAUAAUUUGGUAGCAAAACAACUGAUUAUAUUCCUGUAAGAGAGGAAUUUUUUCUUCAGUAAAACCCUAAGUAAUUUAAUGGCAGUGAUUUUGAUUACCCUGUGAAGAACUUGAAAUGUACCGCUAAAAAAACAAAAAAAAAAAUCCUCUGAAUAACAGUGAAAAAAGAAACCAUUUUGUUUAAAUGUAAUUAUUAGAUAAAAAACAAGGAUAACUUCUAACAAGCAGGGCUAAUUUUAGGGAGGCUUAGAGCUGUGCCUCAUUUUUCCAAUGAGAUAAAAAUAUACCUAGAUAAAUCUAGGGACACUUUGAAGCAUGCAACUAGUCAUAAAAGAGCCACAGAGGAGGUAACUUUAUGGAAGAGGGAUGAUGGUGGAGGGGAGGAGCUGAGAUUUGGAAAUGGACAAUGAUGAUAAGAAUGACAAUAAAAGUAAGUACAAAGCUUAAAAUAGCACAAAAACAAGUAAGGCCAAUUCUGGGGCUUUCCAGAAAGUCUUCAACAGAUGAAGUGAAUUUUUAGCUUGGACUCAAAGGAGUUUGCUAGUCAGAUAAAGGGGACAUUGAAAACAUGUGUGAAGGAUAGCAAAGGAAUGGCAUAAGGUAAAGAAAUAGAGUUUAGGACCAAAUACUAUGUUUAGGCAAUAGCAUAAGGUGAGAGGCAAGAAACAAGAGGUAGAACAUCCCAUAGAUAAGUAAUAGGAGUGAUCAACUCCAAGAUGUAUAAUAUAGAGAACACUGCUGACAGUGAGGAUGGGCUGGAGUGAGAUGAGAGAGGAAUUAGGAGUAUCCCAGGUGAGAGAUAGGGGGGUUCUGAAGUAUGACAAUAAGCAUGUCAAGGAGGGGAUGAUAAAUAAUUAGAAAUCAUUUAAAAAUAUAAAGUACUAUGUAAAAUCAGUUUUGGACAAGAUGUAGGUGUAGAUAGAUAUGCUUUGCUUCCCUGCACAACUAAAAUAAGGAUAACAACACAUUUAAAAACAAGACCAGCCAGAACUGCUAGUAUAUCGAGCUGUAUGGAAGUCCAACAACCAAGGAGUUUAAGAAGAAACAUUCAUCCAGACUGGUAGGAGGGGUGGAGACAGGCAGGUGGGGAGGAGAAAUCACACAACAAGUUAAUGGCUGGAAGAUCUGGAUAUCCCACAUUCAUAAGCAGAUAAACCGAGAGGAGCAACUGGGGAGUGAGGCAGACAAUGUGACCCAGGAUUCCAG